rnacentral:other from 2 species
AUUAGCCUGCGAGGUUCGAUAGGGAUGUCCUAAAUUUUCUGGGCUAUGCCAACAAAAAAGGGAGCCCUACAUUCCGCUCACUGCAAUUAGCAGUGCCGGUGCGGGCACCCACCUUGUAUAUAUGUCCCCAGAAAUAGGGGAUAAAUCCCGUCGGCCUCGCGGGUUUAAG